rnacentral:rRNA from 1 species
GAUGAACGCUGGCGGCGUGCCUAAUACAUGCAAGUCGAGCGAACAGACGAGGAGCUUGCUCCUCUGACGUUAGCGGCGGACGGGUGAGUAACACGUGGAUAACCUACCUAUAAGACUGGGAUAACUUCGGGAAACCGGAGCUAAUACCGGAUAAUAUAUUGAACCGCAUGGUUCAAUAGUGAAAGACGGUUUUGCUGUCACUUAUAGAUGGAUCCGCGCCGCAUUAGCUAGUUGGUAAGGUAACGGCUUACCAAGGCAACGAUGCGUAGCCGACCUGAGAGGGGGAUCGGCCACACGGGAACUGAGACACGGUCCAGACUCCUACGGGAGGCAGCAGUAGGGAAUCUUCCGCAAAGGGCGAAAGCUUGACGGAGCAACGCCGCGUGAGUGAUGAAGGUCUUCGGAUCGUAAAACUCUGUUAUUAGGGAAGAACAAAUGUGUAAGUAACUAUGCACGUCUUGACGGUACCUAAUCAGAAAGCCACGGCUAACUACGUG